GUUGUUAUGGUUCAGUUGGACUGGUUUGAACUGGUGUGAUGAUAACUGUGUUGUUAUGGUUCAGUUGGACUGGUUUGAAGUGGUGUGAUGAUAACUGUAGGUUGUUAUGGUUCAGUUGGACUGGUUUGAACUGGUGUGAUGAUAACUGUAGGUUGUUAUGGUACAGUUGGACUGGUUUGAACUGGUGUGAUGAUAACUGUAGGUUGUUAUGGUUCAGUUGGACUGGUUUGAACUGGUGUGAUGAUAACUGUAGGUUGUUGUUAUGGUUCAGUUGGACUGGUUUGAACUGGUGUGAUGAUAACUGUAGGUUGUUAUGGUUCAGUUGGACUGGUUUGAACUGGUGUGAUGAUAACUGUAGGUUGUUAUGGUUCAGUUGGACUGGUUUG
rnacentral:lncRNA from 1 species